AGAGUUUGAUCCUGGCUCAGAACGAACGCUGGCGGCGUGGAUAAGACAUGCAAGUCGAACGAGACUUUUCGUUGUAGCAAUACGAUGGAAAGUUUAGUGGCGAACGGGUGCUUAACACGUGGGCAACCUGCCAUGAAGUGGGGGAUAGCUCGCCGAAAGGCGAAUUAAUACCGCAUGUGAUUAGAAAGGACAUCCUUUCAAAAUUAAAGUCGGGACAACCUGACGCUUCUUGUGGGGCCCGCGGCCUAUCAGCUAGUUGGUGAGGUAACGGCUCACCAAGGCUUUGACGGGUAGCUGGUCUGAGAGGACGACCAGCCACACUGGGACUGAGACACGGCCCAGACACCUACGGGUGGCAGCAGUCGAGAAUUUUUGACAAUGGGGGAAACCCUGAUCGAGCGACGCCGCGUGGAGGAUGAAGGUCUUCGGAUUGUAAACUCCUGUCAUUUGGGAACAAGGUGCACACGUUAACUGCGUGAGUAUUGAUAGUACCAGAAGAGGAAGAGACGGCUAACUCUGUGCCAGCAGCCGCGGUAAUACAGAGGUCUCAAGCGUUGUUCGGAUUCAUUGGGCGUAAAGGGUGCGUAGGCGGCGCGGUAAGUCGGGUGUGAAAUCUCGGAGCUUAACUCCGAAACUGCAUUCGAUACUGCCGUGCUUGAGGACUGGAGAGGAGACUGGAAUUUACGGUGUAGCGGUGAAAUGCGUAGAUAUCGUAAGGAAGACCAGUGGCGAAGGCGGGUCUCUGGACAGUUCCUGACGCUGAGGCACGAAGGUCAGGGGAGCAAACGGGAUUAGAUACCCUAGUAGUCC
rnacentral:rRNA from 1 species